UAUUCUAUGUAUAAGGAAAAGCCUUGUUUCUUUAUAUGUGAUGAAAUGUUCGUGAUGUGAUAUGUUAAGUGGAUGACCAUAAAUUUGUUGUUUGUUUAUAUAUAUAUAUAUACA